rnacentral:rRNA from 1 species
AGUGAACGCUGGCGGUAGGCCUAACACAUGCAAGUCGAACGGCAGCACAGAGGAGCUUGCUCCUUGGGUGGCGAGUGGCGGACGGGUGAGGAAUACAUCGGAAUCUACUCUGUCGUGGGGGAUAACGUAGGGAAACUUACGCUAAUACCGCAUACGACCUACGGGUGAAAGCAGGGGCUCUUCGGACCUUGCGCGAUUGAAUGAGCCGAUGUCGGAUUAGCUAGUUGGCGGGGUAAAGGCCCACCAAGGCGACGAUCCGUAGCUGGUCUGAGAGGAUGAUACGCCACACUGGAACUGGGACACGGGCCAGACUCCUACGGGAGGCAGCAGUGGGUAAUAUUGGACAAUGGGCGCAAGCCUGAUCCAGCCAUACCGCGUGGGUGAAGAAGGCCUUCGGGUUGUAAAGCCCUUUUGUUAGGAAAGAAAUCCAUCUGGUUAAUACCCGGGUGGGAUGACGGUACCCAAAGAAUAAGCACCGGCUAACUUCGUGCCAGCCGCCGCAGUAA